rnacentral:rRNA from 1 species
UACGUAUGGAGCAAGCGUUAUCCGGAUUUACUGGGUGUAAAGGGUGCGUAGGUGGCAGUGCAAGUCAGAUGUGAAAGGCCGGGGCUCAACCCCGGAGCUGCAUUUGAAACUGCAUAGCUAGAGUACAGAAGAGGCAGGCGGAAUUCCUAGUGUAGCGGUGAAAUGCGUAGAUAUUAGGAGGAACACCAGUGGCGAAGGCGGCCUGCUGGACUGUUACUGACACUGAGGCACGAAAGCGUGGGGAGCAAACAGG